UACAGAGGUCUCAAGCGUUGUUCGGAUUCAUUGGGCGUAAAGCGCGCGUAGGCGGCCAGAUAAGUCCGGUGUGAAAGUCACAGGCUCAACCUGUGAAUGCCGCUGGAAACUGCCUGGCUUGAGUCCGGAAGGGGCGAGUGGAAUUCCUGGUGUAGCGGUGAAAUGCGCAGAUAUCAGGAAGAACACCCGUGGCGAAAGCGGCUCUCUGGAACGGUACUGACGCUGAGACGCGAAAGCGUGGGGGAGCGAACAGG
rnacentral:rRNA from 1 species